rnacentral:misc_RNA from 1 species
GAUGAAGAACGCAGCGAAAUGCGAUACGUAAUGUGAAUUGCAGAAUUCAGUGAAUCAUCGAAUCUUUGAACGCACAUUGCGCCCGCUAGUAUUCUGGCGGGCAUGCCUGUCCGAGCGUCAUUUCAACCCUCAAGCCCCCGGGCUUGGUGUUGGGGAUCGGCGAGCCUCCGCGCCCGCCGUCCCCUAAAUCUAGUGGCGGUCUCGCUGUAGCUUCCUCUGCGUAGUAGCACACCUCGCACUGGGAAACAGCGCGGCCACGCCGUUAAACCCCCAACUUCUGAACGUUUGACCUCGGAUCAGGUAGGAAUACCCGCUGAACUUAAGCAUAUCAAAAGCGGAGGA